CAGUGUUUACUGCAAAAAGCCUGAAGAGUAUGAUUAUACUCACCAGAACAAAUACAAUAAGCUGUUGUUGUUCUGGUGACUAUAGUGUCCCUUUAACUAACCAUUAAAACAGUAAAAGUUAAAGCAUAACAUAAUGCACUUGGGAAGCCAUUUAUAGAAGAAGAUAUAGACCUAUUCCAAUCACCGCCAUAAGAUAUACUUAUUUAUUUUACUAGUACAGUUAAUUUGAACAGUACAUAAAACCAGUCUCAAAAAGUCUCAAAAUAAAAAAUAAAAUUGUUAGUGCCACUCUAUAUAUACACUGGCCUAUUUCUGUAACCUUCGAAUACUGUCAUAAUUAUAGAAGAUCUUCGGGCAAUUAUCCCAUAUCACAAAGAAUAAAACACGGUAAGUUAUAUCAGGUACAUGAGUGCUACCCACCACUGCAAUGUCAACAACCACAUCUGCAUCUUCCACUAUACCACGGCCACUAACAGGUAUACAAACAAUGGAUGGAUUAGCGCUUAGUGGCCACCUAGAAUAUAUAUUCAAGUAUAAGGGUCCCUCAAAAACCAUCAAAGAAAAGAAUUGUAUACAAUCGUAUAGUUAUUAGGCAAGGGAGAAAGAUAAGGCAGA